UACAGAGGUCCCAAGCGUUGUUCGGAUUCACUGGGCGUAAAGGGUGCGUAGGUGGCUUGGUAAGUCUGAUGUGAAAUCUCGGAGCCUAACUUCGAAACUGCAUCGGAUACUAUCGAGCUAGAGGUCUGGAGGGGAGACUGGAAUUCUCGGUGUAGCAGUGAAAUGCGUAGAUAUCGAGAGGAACGCCAAUGGCGAAGGCUAGUCUCUGGACAGAUCCUGACACUGAGGCACGAAAGCUAGGGGAGCAAACAGG
rnacentral:rRNA from 1 species